rnacentral:rRNA from 1 species
AAAACUUUUCAGCUAGAGUAUGAUAGAGGAAAGCAGAAUUUCUAGUGUAGAGGUGAAAUUCGUAGAUAUUAGAAAGAAUACCAAUUGCGAAGGCAGCUUUCUGGAUCAUUACUGACACUGAGGAACGAAAGCAUGGGUAGCGAAGAGGAUUAGAUACCCUCGUAGUCCAUGCCGUAAACGAUGUGUGUUAGACGUUGGAAAUUUAUUUUCAGUGUCGCAGCGAAAGCGAUAAACACACCGCCUGGGGAGUACGACCGCAAGGUUAAAACUCAAAUGAAUUGACGGGGACCCGCACAAGUAGUGGAGCAUGUGGUUUAAUUCGAAGAUACGCGCAGAACCUUACCAACACUUGACAUGUUCGUCGCGACUCUAAGAGAUUAGAGUUUUCGGUUCGGCCGGACGAAACACAGGUGCUGCAUGGCUGUCGUCAGCUCGUGUCGUGAGAUGUUGGGUUAAGUCCCGCAACGAGCGCAACCCUCACUUUUAGUUGCCAUCAUUAAGUUGGGCACUCUGAAAGAACUGCCAGUGAUAAGCUGGAGGAAGGUGGGGAUGACGUCAAGUCCUCAUGGCCCUUACGUGUUGGGCUACACACGUGCUACAAUGGUAUCUACAACAGGAAGCAAGACUGCGAGGUCAAGCAAAUCCCUAAAAGAUACCUCAGUUCGGAUUGCACUCUGCAACUCGAGUGCAUGAAGCUGGAAUUACUAGUAAUCGUGGAUCAGCGUGCCACGGUGAAUGCGUUCCCGGGUCUUGUACACACCGCCCGUCACACCAUGGGAGUUGGUUCUACCUUAAGGCAAGGUUUUAAACCCUUGACCACGGUAUAGUCAGCGACUGGGGUGAAGUCGUAACAAGGUAAC